rnacentral:rRNA from 1 species
AGUAGUAAUAAACAAUAAAACUAAAAUAUAAUGGCAGUCCAAUUAAUUUAGAGAAACUCGCUUAGUAAUCGACAAUACACGAUAAAUUUAACUUAUAUAUACAUGCUCAUAUACCGCCGUUACAGAAUAAUCACAACAAUAACUCAAACCAUUAUAAACUAUAAAAAAUCAGGUCAAGGUGUGGCAAUAAAUAAGAAUAAGUAAGUUACAUUAAAAGUAAAUUAAGGAUACAAAUUAAAUAAAACAAUGGAAAAAGAAUUUAUACGUAAAUAAUUAAUUAAAAUUUUAUAUAGAAAAAAACUAAUAAGAUGU